AUGUUCCUGGAAUGUUCGAUGCACCUGUGUAUUUUGAACCUACAUUUGUUUAAACGGGAUUCUUAUAUUUCCAUAGUAAUGUCAAGCCUCUAUCAAUGAUAAGUGGACGACAGCGCUGUGGAUGCGGUUGCCCACCUAGCUUCGCUAGGACUCAAAAUGCAGGAGACGGCAUUCUGGGACAUAC
rnacentral:other from 1 species